rnacentral:rRNA from 1 species
AGCAGUGGGGAAUAUUGGACAAUGGGCGAAAGCCUGAUCCAGCCAUGCCGCGUGUGUGAAGAAGGUCUUCGGAUUGUAAAGCACUUUAAGUUGAGAGGAAGGGCAGUUACCUAAUACGUGAUUGUUUUGACGUUACCGACAGAAUAAGCACCGGCUAACUCUGUGCCAGCAGCCGCGGUAAUACAGAGGGUGCAAGCGUUAAUCGGAAUUACUGGGCGUAAAGCGCGCGUAGGUGGUUUGUUAAGUUGGAUGUGAAAUCCCCGGGCUCAACCUGGGAACUGCAUUCAAAACUGACUGACUAGAGUGUGGUAGAGGGUGGUGGAAUUUCCUGUGUAGCGGUGAAAUGCGUAGAUAUAGGAAGGAACACCAGUGGCGAAAGCGACCACCUGGACCAACACUGACACUGAGG